CACACUAUCAUUAACUGAAUCCAUAGGUUAAUGAGGCGAACCGGGGGAACUGAAACAUCUAAGUACCCCGAGGAAAAGAAAUCAACCGAGAUUCCCCCAGUAGCGGCGAGCGAACGGGGAGCAGCCCAGAGCCUGAAUCAGUGUGUGUGUUAGUGGAAGCGUCUGGAAAGGCGCGCGAUACAGGGUGACAGCCCCGUACACAAAAAUGCACAUGCUGUGAGCUCGAUGAGUAGGGCGGGACACGUGGUAUCCUGUCUGAAUAUGGGGGGACCAUCCUCCAAGGCUAAAUACUCCUGACUGACCGAUAGUGAACCAGUACCGUGAGGGAAAGGCGAAAAGAACCCCGGCGAGGGGAGUGAAAAAGAACCUGAAACCGUGUACGUACAAGCAGUGGGAGCACGCUUAGGCGUGUGACUGCGUACCUUUUGUAUAAUGGGUCAGCGACUUAUAUUCUGUAGCAAGGUUAACCGAAUAGGGGAGCCGAAGGGAAACCGAGUCUUAACUGGGCGUUAAGUUGCAGGGUAUAGACCCGAAACCCGGUGAUCUAGCCAUGGGCAGGUUGAAGGUUGGGUAACACUAACUGGAGGACCGAACCGACUAAUGUUGAAAAAUUAGCGGAUGACUUGUGGCUGGGGGUGAAAGGCCAAUCAAACCGGGAGAUAGCUGGUUCUCCCCGAAAGCUAUUUAGGUAGCGCCUCGUGAAUUCAUCUCCGGGGGUAGAGCACUGUUUCGGCAAGGGGGUCAUCCCGACUUACCAACCCGAUGCAAACUGCGAAUACCGGAGAAUGUUAUCACGGGAGACACACGGCGGGUGCUAACGUCCGUCGUGAAGAGGGAAACAACCCAGACCGCCAGCUAAGGUCCCAAAGUCAUGGUUAAGUGGGAAACGAUGUGGGAAGGCCCAGACAGCCAGGAUGUUGGCUUAGAAGCAGCCAUCAUUUAAAGAAAGCGUAAUAGCUCACUGGUCGAGUCGGCCUGCGCGGAAGAUGUAACGGGGCUAAACCAUGCACCGAAGCUGCGGCAGCGACGCUGAUGCGUUGUUGGGUAGGGGAGCGUUCUGUAAGCCUG
rnacentral:rRNA from 1 species